UACAGAGGUCUCAAGCGUUGUUCGGAUUCAUUGGGCGUAAAGGGUGCGUAGGCGGCGCGGUAAGUCGGGUGUGAAAUCUCGGGGCUUAACUCCGAAACUGCAUUCGAUACUGCCGUGCUUGAGGACUGGAGAGGAGACUGGAAUUUACGGUGUAGCGGUGAAAUGCGUAGAUAUCGUAAGGAAGACCAGUGGCGAAGGCGGGUCUCUGGACAGUUCCUGACGCUGAUGUGCGAAAGCUAGGGGAGCGAACGGG
rnacentral:rRNA from 1 species